CGAACUCCUGGCCUCGUGAUCUGCCUGCCUCAGCCUCCAAAAGUUCUGGGAUUACAGGCGUGAACCACUGCACCCGGUCCCUUGUUAAGUUUAUUUUGGUGGGAAGCAAAGGAGGUUUCAGCUUUUAAAAAGUUUGAAAAUUAUUGCUCUGGUAAUAAUUAAAGAUUUGAGAGUAAAUAUGCUUUCUAGCAGAAAGAAUAAAAGAAGAACAGAUAGCCUCAAGAAGGGGAGCCAAAGAAGCAGGCUAUAUCUGACACACUGGGUGUUGAUAAAUGGGUAUUAAAAGAAUGAGAGCAAUGAGCAGAUAGAAGAGGAAAUUAGGAGAGUAUAAUACCAUGGAGACCAAGAAAGAUAGACUAUCAGGAAGGAGUGGUAAAAAUAAGUUACUAGUUCUAAGAGAGAUGUUAAGAGGGACCGGGGAAAGCCUUGUACAAAUGAGUUAGUAGCAUUUUACAUUAUAUACAUCUAAUUAAGAAACAAUGCGAGAGUCUCACCAUUCCUAUAGACUCUUACUUGUACUUGUCUGAACACGAAAACUGGCUUUUGUUUAUAAAUAAGCUAAAAAU
rnacentral:lncRNA from 1 species